rnacentral:rRNA from 1 species
AUGCCAGACUCCUACGGGAGGCAGCAGUGGGGAAUAUUGCACAAUGGGGGGAACCCUGAUGCAGCAAUGCCGCGUGAAGGAUGAAGGUUUUCGGAUUGUAAACUUCUUUUGUACGGGACGAAGAAAGUGACGGUACCGUAAGAAUAAGCCACGGCUAACUACGUGCCAGCAGCCGCGGUAAUACGGAGGAUGCGAGCGUUAUCCGGAUUUAUUGGGUUUAAAGGGUGCGUAGGCGGGCUGUUAAGUCAGCGGUCAAAUGUCGGGGCUCAACCCCGGCCUGCCGUUGAAACUGGCAGUCUCGAGUUGGAGAGAAGUAUGCGGAAUGCGCGGUGUAGCGGUGAAAUGCAUAGAUAUCGCGCAGAACUCCGAUUGCGAAGGCAGCAUGCCGGCUCCACACUGACGCUGAGGCACGAAAGCGUGGGUAUCGAACAGGAUUAGAUACCCUCGUAU